CUCUUUGUUUGUCCUUUCUUUUUUUUUCCCGGGGAAAUUUUUGGACUGACGCAGUGCUCAGCUUCUGGACGUUGCGUCGGAAAGUUUCAUGAACCUUAUCACUUAGAGGAAGGAGAAGUCGUAACAAGGUUUCCGUAGGUGAACCUGCGGAAGGAUCAUUC
rnacentral:rRNA from 1 species